GACAGAGGGUGCAAACGUUGCUCGGAAUUACUGGGCGUAAAGCGCACGUAGGCGGCUUUGCAAGUUAGAGGUGAAAGCCCGGGGCUCAACCCCGGAGGGUCAGCUGAUACUGGCAGACUAGAGUACAGAAGAGGUAACUGGAAUUCCCGGUGUAGCGGUGAAAUGCGUAGAUAUCUGGAGGAACACCGGUGGCGAAGGCGGCAUCCUGGACCGGCAUUGACGCUGAGGCGCGAAAGCCAGGGGAGCAAACGGG
rnacentral:rRNA from 1 species